CGCGGCGGUGCCGGGGCGGGCGUCGGGACCGCGCGUGGGCCCCGGCGUGGGAGAGAUGGCUCCGCGGGGGACUGUGAGCUUCGUCCUUGUCCUGCUGCAAGUCCCGGCCCUGCGCCGCCUGCUGGUCCGCCGCCUGGGCUUUUAGAAAACCCAGAGGGGGCACCCGGGUGGCUCAGCGGUUUAGCGCCGCCCUCGGCCCGGCGUGUGACCCUGGGGACCCGGGAUGGAGUCCCCGCGUCGGGCUCCCUGCACCGAGCCUGCUUCUCGCUCUGCCUGGUUGUGUUGGCGUCUGCGCCCCCAGCUUUGUGAAGUCUUGGUUGGCUGUUGGAUCCCUGACGUCGGGCACACAGUGCGGUUCAGCGAACGUUUGUGGAAUCCUGGGUCCAAGGUGGUCUCUCGUCACCUCUUCUUGAGAACAUUAGAAGUAUGAAUUGAGAGGGACUGUAAAGGACUCGGUAAUACCAUCAACAAGGAGAUACCUACACAGUUUGUCCUAUACCAACACCAGUUGUAACAUCAGCUCUAAUGUUUAACAUCUUGAUGGCACCUUAGGGAGUCUGAUCCUGUUCUGCUCCUUGCAUUACACCUUCCUUCCUGCUUUAUUAAAAAAAUACAGUCCUUUUCCCCCGUAGCCUGCAAAUUAUUCGGACACUUUGUAAAAAUAUUAGCCAUGGUGGACGGCAAGGAACGUGAACAGAAUAUAGUUCAAGUCCUGGCUGCACAUCUAAUGGUUGUAAUCUCAUUUAUAAAAUGGUUACCCUGCCACAAUCUUGAGCAAAGACUUAAGAGAAAUGAGUGAAAAUGUCCAACACAUACUGAAAGCUUAAUAAGAAGUGGCUAUUAAUGUCUGGAUGGUGUGAUUAGAAAUUCAUGUCUCUUAAAGCAUGCAUAAAAACCUAGAAAAAAGGAUAGGACUAGUGAUAUACUUGGGAGAUAAUAGUAUUACCCUAAAGAUAUUAUCUCUGUGGCUGAAAUGACUAAGAUCAUUAAGGAGAUCAUAUGAAAGAUCAGUAGGGACAGGCAAGAACACUUGAGGAGUGGGAAGAAGAGAAUAUCAGAAAAUAGUCAAACUGGAAAAUAAGAAUGGAGAAUUGAUCCUAGAAACCAAGGAGAUGACCAAAGCAUGCUGAAAAGGAGAAUGUUAAAGAGAAAGAUCAUACCCACUUAUAAAUAUUCCAACAACAAAAUUGUGUUAGGUUUUUACUGUAUGGUUGGGAGACCACCAAUUUAAAGAAUCACACUACCGGGAUCCCUGGGUGGCGCAGCGGUUUGGUUUGGCGCCUGCCUUUGGCCCAGAGCGCGAUCCUGGAGACCCGGGAUCGAAUCCCACAUCGGGCUU